UAUUAAAAAUUUCAUCUAUUUCUCCUGUUAAAAAUUGAUUUAAUUAACAAAAUAAUCAAAUAAUGACACAUGGAUUUCGUGUGCACUUCAUGCCAACGCAUAGAACCAGUCAUUAUUAACAGAAAUUGAUGAAAUUUUUAACG
rfam:Gossypium arboreum cultivar AKA8401 contig_43507_1, whole genome shotgun sequence.